GGAAGGCCAUGUGACGGAAAAAGAGAAGCAGAGUCAGAGAGAGGACACUGCCAAGGGAGGCAGGUGGUUCUAGAAGCUGGAAAAGGCCAGGAAAGGAAUUCUCCCCUGGAGCCUCGGGAGGGAGCACGGCUCUGCUUGACUUCAGCCCAGUGAGACCCAUCUCAGACUCCCACCCUCCAGAACUGCGAGGGAGCACAGUGUUCUCUUACAAAAACCGUGCUGUUUGAAGCCACUGAGUUUGCAGUAAUUUGUUACAGCAGCAACGGGAAACCAGUCCAGAAAUAAAGACUCAGGGCUUCACACGUGUUUCCAGGCAAACAGCCACACGUACACCCAGGUACACAGGGAGGCACGCCCCUGAAGACCGAAACCAGCGGGGGGCAUUUUGAUGGGGCAAUGAGGAACAGAGUCUUAACCAGCUCCCCAAAGUCACUUACAAGUUACCAAAAGAAGAGGGAGAAACCUGACAGGCACCACCUUGGCCAAGUGAUCCAGGUUGACGUGACCAGUGAUGGCCAAACAGACCUCACAGGCUCCUGAUCUGAUGAGAAGGUCAGAGCAUCACUCCUAAAGCAUUUCUUCUUUACUUUUUUUGGUGAGGAAGAUUGGCCCUGAGCUAACAUCUGUGCCAAUCUUCCUCUGUUUUGUAUAUGGGACGCCACCACAGCAUGGCUUGAUGAGCGGUGUGUAGGUCUGUGCCCAGGAUCUCAACCCAAGAACUCCCAACCCCCAAAGAGGAACGUGCAAACUUAACCCACUACACCACCGGGUUGGCCCCCUAAAGCAUUGCUACCAAAAAACCCCCUAAAUCUAAUCAUGAGGAAACAUCGAGCAAAUCCAAAGUGUGGGACAUUCCAGAAGGACACCGUCUGCAAAAUUCAGAAUUGCCAAGAUCACGAAAGUCAAAGAAAGACCAAAGAACUCUUCCAGGCUACCGGAGAUGAAAGAGACCUGACAAAUCAAGCAGUGCGUGACAUGGGAUUUUCUUUUGCCAUUGAGGACAUUUUUGGGACUAUUAGCAAAACUUGCAGAAGGUCUGUAGAUGAGCUCAUAGCAUUGUAUCGAUGUCAAUUUCCUGAUGUGAUCAUGGCGCUAUGGUUUUGAAAGAAAAUGAUCUUGUUUUUAGAAAAAGCAGAGACUCCCGUGGGGCAGGGGUCGUGCAGAGACCCAGAGAGGGGAGGACAGAGACACGGGGAGGUGGAGAGAGACAUACAGAGAUAGGAGAGCAGAGACCCAGAGAGAGAGAGAGGGAGACAGAACGGAGGUUGGGGUGGUGGGGGCAGAUCAGAGAAAUGAGAGACCCAGAGGGAGGAGAACAGAUGCUCAGCAUAAGGAGGACCGAGACCGAGGCCGUGGCUGUGCAGGGUACGCUGGGGCCCUCGGUCGGACAUCCCCGGGUGGGAUCCCAGGAGACCACUUAUCAGCACUGUGACCCGGGAGAGUCUGUUUCUUCACCUGCGAAUGAGGAAAGGUACCUCCUCGGGGAGAUCGCAGCGGUCCCGCGAUCGGCCGCACUCCCGGCAAACAGCAGGCGCCCAAUUCCUGCGCGCGGAGAUCGUCCGACCCGCGAGGACCGCAGGAGGACACCGGGGCCGCGUCGCGAAGGACAGCAGGGGGCGAGGCACUGCCCACAGCGCCCUUCCCCCUCCCACCUGGGCAGGAGGCGGACCCGCCCCCUGAGCGCCCGCCUCCCUGGGCCGGCUCGCACCCACCCGCUUCCGCCCGGGUCCGCCAGAUCGGGACUCACCUGUGCGUCCCCCGCGGGAUGCGCCAGCCUGCCGAGCCUUCCUUCCCUGGUGGGCCGGUGACUGCGCCUGCACGGUCGCCCUCUGUGAACUAGAAGUCUGGGUGUGCCUGUAAUCUCUCAUUGGAAUAACGUGCGGCAAAGACUGGAUAGCUCUUCUCCCAAUCCUUUCCUCUGCUUCCUGUGCACACAGCUGGACUACAUUUCCCAGCCUCCCAUGCAAUUUGGGGUGGCCAUGUGACUAAAUUCUGGCCAAUAAAAUGUGAGAAGUGACA
ensembl:lncRNA